rnacentral:misc_RNA from 1 species
CGCACAUUGCGCCCUUUGGUAUUCCGAGGGGCACGCCCGUUCGAGCGUCAUUUCACCAAUCAAGCCCGGCUUGGUAUUGGGUCCACGGGGGCGACCCGGACCUCAAAGUGUCGGCGAGACAGCCUGAAUCUCAGCGUUGUGGCAAUCUAUCCGCUGGCGAGAAGGGGUGUCUGUGCCGUGAAACAUUCAUCAAGGUUGACCUCGGAUCGGGUGGGGAUACCCGCUGAACUUAA